rnacentral:misc_RNA from 1 species
UUGUUUCUAUUCCAUUGUGGAAUCGAGCAUGUAAUCGCCGGAUUCCGAAACAACAAAAAAUAAUGAUUUUGGAUACCAAAAGGAAGCGCGUCCCGAUCCCAUCGGGAACCGAGACCACGCCUCCCCGUUCUUUUAAUGAUCCUUCCGCAGGUUCACCUACGGAAA